rnacentral:rRNA from 1 species
UACAGAGGUGGCAAGCGUUGUUCGGAAUUACUGGGCGUAAAGGGCGCGUAGGCGGUCUGGUAAGUCCCGUGUGAAAUCCCUCGGCUCAACUGAGGAAUGGCACGGGAAACUGCUUGGCUUGAGUUCGGGAGAGGGAAGCGGAAUUCCGGGUGUAGCGGUGAAAUGCGUAGAUAUCGAGAGGAACACCUGCGGCGAAGGCGGGUUGCUGGGCUGACACUGACGCUGAGGCGCGAAAGCCAGGGGAGCGAACGGG